rnacentral:rRNA from 1 species
AUUGAACGCUGGCGGCAUGCUUUACACAUGCAAGUCGAACGGUAACAGGCCGCAAGGUGCUGACGAGUGGCGAACGGGUGAGUAAUGCAUCGGAACGUGCCCAGUCGUGGGGGAUAACGCAGCGAAAGCUGCGCUAAUACCGCAUACGAUCUCUGGAUGAAAGCGGGGGACCGAAAGGCCUCGCGCGAUUGGAGCGGCCGAUGUCAGAUUAGGUAGUGGGUGGGGUAAAGGCCCACCAAGCAAACGAUCUGUAGCUGGUCUGAGAGGACGACCAGCCGCGCAGGGACUUGGACACGGCCCAGACUCCUACGGGAGGCAGCAGUGGGGAAUUUUUGACAAUGGGCGCAAGCCUGAUCCAGCAAUGCCGCGUGCAGGAAGAAGGCCUUCGGGUUGUAAACUGCUUUUGUACGGAACGAAACGGUCCGGGUUAAUACCCUGGGCUAAUGACGGUACCGUAAGAAUAAGCACCGGCUAACUACGUGCCAGCCGCCGCCGUAAGAC